AGUGAACGCUGGCGGUAGGCCUAACACAUGCAAGUCGAACGGCAGCACAGUAAGAGCUUGCUCUUACGGGUGGCGAGUGGCGGACGGGUGAGGAAUACAUCGGAAUCUACUUUUUCGUGGGGGAUAACGUAGGGAAACUUACGCUAAUACCGCAUACGACCUACGGGUGAAAGCAGGGGAUCUUCGGACCUUGCGCGAUUGAAUGAGCCGAUGUCGGAUUAGCUAGUUGGCGGGGUAAAGGCCCACCAAGGCGACGAUCCGUAGCUGGUCUGAGAGGAUGAUCAGCCACACUGGAACUGAGGCACGGUCCAGACUCCUACGGGAGGCAGCAGUGGCGAAUAUUGGACAAUGGGCGCAAGCCUGAUCCAGCCAUACCGCGUGGGUGAAGAAGGCCUUCGGGUUGUAAAGCCCUUUUGUUGGGAAAGAAAAGCAGCAGGUUAAUACCCCGCUGUUCUGACGGUACCCAAAGAAUAAGCACCGGCUAACUUCGUG
rnacentral:rRNA from 1 species